rnacentral:rRNA from 1 species
AUUGAACGCUGGCGGCAUGCUUUACACAUGCAAGUCGAACGGCAGCGCGGGGGCAACCCUGGCGGCGAGUGGCGAACGGGUGAGUAAUGCAUCGGAACGUAUCCUGUAAUGGGGGAUAACGUAGCGAAAGUUACGCUAAUACCGCAUACGCUCGAGAGAGGAAAGUGGGGAUCGCAAAGACCUCACGUUAUAGGAGCGGCCGAUGUCCGAUUAGCUAGUUGGUGGGGUAAAGGCCUACCAAGGCGACGAUCGGUAGCUGGUCUGAGAGGAUGAUCAGCCACACUGGGACUGAGACACGGCCCAGACUCCUACGGGAGGCAGCAGUGGGGAAUUUUGGACAAUGGCGAAAGCCUGAUCCAGCCAUGCCGCGUG